AUUGAACGCUGGCGGCAGGCCUAACACAUGCAAGUCGAGCGGAUGAAGGGGGCUUGCUCCUGGAUUCAGCGGCGGACGGGUGAGUAAUGCCUAGGAAUCUGCCUGGUAGUGGGGGAUAACGUCCGGAAACGGGCGCUAAUACCGCAUACGUCCUGAGGGAGAAAGUGGGGGAUCUUCGGACCUCACGCUAUCAGAUGAGCCUAGGUCGGAUUAGCUAGUUGGUGGGGUAAAGGCCUACCAAGGCGACGAUCCGUAACUGGUCUGAGAGGAGGAUCAGUCACACUGGAACUGGGACACGGUCCAGACUCCUACGGGAGGCAGCAGUGGGGAAUAUUGGACAAUGGGCGAAAGCCUGAUCCAGCCAUGCCGCGUGGUUGAAGAAGGUCUUCGGAUUGUAAAGCACUUUAAGUUGGGAGGAAGGGCAGUAAGUUAAUACCUUGCUGUUUUGACGUUACCAACAGAAUAAGCACCGGCUAACUUCGUG
rnacentral:rRNA from 1 species